rnacentral:rRNA from 1 species
CCUACGGGGGGCAGCAGCAAGGAAUAUUGGGCAAUGGGCGAAAGCCUGACCCAGCGACACCGCGUGAGGGAUUAAGGCCUUCGGGUUGUAAACCUCUUUUCUCGAGGAAGAAGUUCUGACGGUACUCGAGGAAUAAGCCACGGCUAACUACGUGCCAGCAGCCGCGGUAAUACGUAGGUGGCGAACGUUAUCCGGAUUUAUUGGGCGUAAAGAGAGUGUAGGCGGCUUGUUAAGUCGAGUGUUAAAUCUUCUGACUCAAUCAGGAGCUGCAUUCGAUACUGGUAGGCUUGAGGGCAGCAGAGGAAAACGGAAUUCCCAGUGUAGCGGUGAAAUGCGUUGAUAUUGGGAAGAACACCAGAGGCGAAGGCGGUUUUCCAGGCUGUAUCUGACGCUGAGACUCGAAAGCGUGGGGAGCGAAGCGGAUUAGAUACCCCGGUAGUC